rnacentral:rRNA from 1 species
GACGAACGCUGGCGGCGUGCUUAAUACAUGCAAGCCGAACGGACCGAUCCCGGUUGUUUACUCUUGGGUAAGGUAAGUGGCGGACGGUUGAGUAUCGCGUGGGCAAUCUGCCCCUAAGGCCGGGUUAACAGGGCGAAAGUUCUGCUAAGACCGGAUACUCUUAACCAGCCGCGUGGUCGGUAAAAGAAAGGGAACGCUUAGGGAUGGGCUCGCGUCGCAUUAGCGAGUUGGUGGGGUAAAAGCCCACCAAGGCAACGAUGGAUAGCUGGUCUGAGAGGAUGAGCAGCCACACUGGGACUGAGACACGGCCCAGACUCCUACGGGAGGCAGCAGUGGGGAAUAUUGGACAAUGGGCGAAAGCCUGAGCCAGCAAUGCCGCGUGAGUGAUGAAGGACUUAGGGUUGUAAAGCUCUUUUACCCGGGAUGAUAAUGACAGUACCGGGAGAAUAAGCUCCGGCUAACUCCGUG